AUGGAGAAGGCGGCGUCCUUCCUCUCCUCCCUCCUCGGCGGCGGCGGCGGGGGGGACGGGCAGGCGGGGGAGCCGGCGGCGACGGUGGCGUCGAUCCUCAUUUACCCCAUCAAGUCCUGCAGGGGCGUCUCCGUGCCGCAGGCCCCCGUCACCUCCACCGGGUUCAGGUGGGACCGGCAGUGGGUGGUGGUGAACGCCAAGGGCAGGGCCCUCACGCAGCGGGUGGAGCCCAAGAUGGCGCUGGUGGAGACGGAGUUGCCGCCGGCGGCCUUCGACGAGGACUGGCAGCCCACCCCCGACUCCUACUUGGUUAUAAGAGCACCCGGGAUGGACACACUGAAGGUCCCUCUUGCUGCGGAACACGUCACGCUUGACGACGUCUCCGUCUGGGAGUGGUCUGGUUCUGCCUAUGAUGAAGGAACUGAAGCAGCUGAAUGGUUCUCCGCCUAUUUCGGGAAACCAAGUCGGCUCGUGCGGUUUAAAGAAGAGUCCGAAAUCAGGCCGACUAAUCCUGAGUAUGCUCAAGGCUACAAGAUCACCUUCACGGAUUGCUUCCCGUUCCUGAUAGCAUCCCAGGGAUCACUGGAUGCACUGAAUGAGCUGCUUAAGGAACCUGUACCAAUCAAUCGCUUCAGACCAAAUAUUUUAGUGGACGGAUGCCACCCGUACGCAGAGGAUCUGUGGAAAACCAUGAAGAUAAACAAGCUAACAUUUGACGGCGUGAAGUUAUGCGACCGUUGCAAGGUGCCUACCAUUAAUCAAGAGAACGGAAUACCUGGCAGCGAACCAACAGAAACCAUGCUGACAUUCCGGUCCGGUGAAGUGAUCCGCCCGAGCCACAAGAAUAAACAGAAGGUAUACUUUGGGCAAAACCUGGUCUGCAAGGAGUCGGUGUCAGCAAAGGGCAAAGGGAGGAUCGUCAAGGUCGGCGACCCGGUUUACGUUCUGCAGACAUACCCUUGUUCCGACGAAGUUCCAGCCUGA
rnacentral:rRNA from 1 species